CUAAUACAUGCAAGUCGAACGCGAAAGUCCUUUAGGGAUGAGUACAGUGGCAGACGGGUGAGUAAUGCAUAGGUAACCUGCCUCCGAGAUGGGGACAACCUUCCGAGAUGAGGGCUAAUACCGAAUAAGACCACAAUCACAUAAGUGAUAGGGGUCAAAUGUGGCCUCUACUUGUAAGCUACUACUCGGAGAUGGGCUUAUGUGCCAUUAGCCUGUUGGUGGGGUAACGGCCUACCAUAGCUACGAUGGCUAGCUGAUCUGAGAGGUUGAUCAGCCACACUGGAACUGAGACACGGUCCAGAGGGGUACGGAAGGCAGCAGUAGGGAAUAUUGCGCAAUGGAGGAAACUCUGACGCAUUGACGCCGUGUGAGUGAUGAAGGCUUUCGGGUCGUAAAGCUCUGUCAGAAGGGAAGAACGGCGGUAUGGAUAAUACCCAUACCGAUUGACGGUACCUUCAAAGGAAGCACCGGCUAACUACGUGCCAGCAGCCGCGGUAAUACGUAGGGUGCGAGCGUAGUUCGGAAUUAUUGGGCGUAAAGCGCGUGUAGGUGGCUUGUUAAGUCGGGUGUGAAAUCCCUGGGCUCAACCCAGGACGUGCAUCCGAAACUAGCUCGCUAGAGGACAGCAGAGGGAGGUGGAAUUCCUAGUGUAGAGGUGAAAUUCGUAGAUAUUAGGAGGAAUACCGGUGGCGAAGGCGGCCUCCUGGGACUGUUCCUGGACACUGAGACCGCGCAAGGCGUGGGUAGCAAACAGUGAUUAGAUACCCUGGUAGUCCACGCCGUAAACGAUGGGUACUAGAUGUUGUGAGAUAGACCCUCACAGUGUCGUAGCAAACGCGUUAAGUACCCCGCCUGGGAAGUACGGCCGCAAGGUUAAAACUCAAAGGAAUUGACGGGGGCCCGCACAAGCGGUGGAGCAUGUGGUUUAAUUCGAUGCAACGCGAGGAACCUUACCCGGGCUUGACAUCCCCGGACCGCUCCAGAGAUGGAGUUUCCUCUUCGGAGGCCGGGAGACAGGUGCUGCAUGGCUGUCGUCAGCUCGUAUCGUGAGAUGUCGGGUUAAGUCCCUUAACGAGCGCAACCCCUAUCCCUAGUUGCCAUCAUUCAGUUGGGCACUCUACGGAGACUGCCGGUGUUAACCGGACGGAAGGUGGGGAUGACGUCAAGUCCUCAUGGCCUUUAUGUCCAGGGCUACACACGUGCUACAAUGGCUGGUACAGAGGGUUGCCAACCCGCGAGGGGGAGCUAAUCUCAGAAAGCCAGUCUCAGUUCGGAUUGGAGUCUGCAACUCGGCUCCAUGAAGCUGGAAUCGCUAGUAAUGGCGUAUC
rnacentral:rRNA from 1 species